rnacentral:tRNA from 1 species
GCCUGGGUGGCUUAGUCGGUUGAGCAUCUGACUUCGGCUCAGGUCAUGAUCUCACAGUCUGUGAGUUCGAGCCCCGUGUCGGGCU